rnacentral:rRNA from 3 species
UGUAAGGUAGCUAUACCAAGGGUGCUCCACCUGAUCCCAUUCCGAACUCAGAAGUGAAAUCCCUUAUGGCCCAUGAUAGUCGGUUUUCCCGGCGAAAGUAGGUAGCUGCCUCA